rnacentral:tRNA from 1 species
GCUUCUAAAGGAUAACAGCUC